rnacentral:rRNA from 1 species
CCUACGGGUGGCAGCAGUGGGGAAUAUUGGACAAUGGGGGCAACCCUGAUCCAGCCAUGCCGCGUGUGUGAAGAAGGCCCUCGGGUUGUAAAGCACUUUCAGUGAGGAAGAACGCCUGGUGGUUAAUACCCAUCAGGAAAGACAUCACUCACAGAAGAAGCACCGGCUAACUCCGUGCCAGCAGCCGCGGUAAUACGGAGGGUGCGAGCGUUAAUCGGAAUUACUGGGCGUAAAGCGCGCGUAGGUGGCUUGAUAAGCCGGUUGUGAAAGCCCCGGGCUCAACCUGGGAACGGCAUCCGGAACUGGCAAGCUAGAGUGCAGGAGAGGAAGGUAGAAUUCCCGGUGUAGCGGUGAAAUGCGUAGAGAUCGGGAGGAAUACCAGUGGCGAAGGCGGCCUUCUGGACUGACACUGACACUGAGGUGCGAAAGCGUGGGUAGCAAACAGGAUUAGAUACCCCUGUAGUC